rnacentral:rRNA from 1 species
UGGGGAAUAUUGCACAAUGGAGGGAACUCUGAUGCAGCGACGCCGCGUGAACGAAGAAGGCUUUCGAGUCGUAAAGUUCUUUUAUAUGGGAAGAUAAUGACGGUACCAUAAGAAAAAGCCCCGGCUAACUACGUGCCAUCAGCCGCGGUCAUACGUAGGGGGCUAGCGUUGGCCGGAAUCACUGUGCGUAAAGGGUUCGCAGGCAGAAAUGCAAGUCAGGUGUAAAAGGCAGUAGCUUAACUACUGUAAGCAUUUGAAACUGCAUAUCUUGAGAAGAGUAGAGGUAAGUGGAAUUUUUAGUGUAGCGGUGAAAUGCGUAGAUAUUAAAAAGAAUACCGGUGGCGAAGGCGACUUACUGGGCUCAUUCUGACGCUGAGGAACGAAAGCGUGGGUAGCAAACAGG